GUGUCAGCAGCCGCGGUAAUACGAAGGGUGCAAGCGUUAAUCGGAAUUACUGGGCGUAAAGCGUGCGUAGGUGGUUUGUUAAGUCUGUUGUGAAAGCCCUGGGCUCAACCUGGGAAUGGCGAUGGAUACUGGCGAGCUAGAGUGCGGUAGAGGAUGGUGGAAUUCCCGGUGUAGCGGUGAAAUGCGUAGAGAUCGGGAGGAACAUCAAUGGCGAAGGCAGCCAUCUGGACCAGCACUGACACUGAGGCACGAAAGCGUGGGGAGCAAACAGGAUUAGAUACCCUGGUAGUCC
rnacentral:rRNA from 1 species